rnacentral:rRNA from 1 species
GACUGGGAUAACUUCGGGAAACCGGAGCUAAUACCGGAUACGUUCUUUUCUCGCAUGAGAGAAGAUGGAAAGACGGUUUACGCUGUCACUUAUAGAUGGGCCCGCGGCGCAUUAGCUAGUUGGUGAGGUAAUGGCUCACCAAGGCGACGAUGCGUAGCCGACCUGAGAGGGUGAUCGGCCACACUGGGACUGAGACACGGCCCAGACUCCUACGGGAGGCAGCAGUAGGGAAUCUUCCGCAAUGGACGAAAGUCUGACGGAGCAACGCCGCGUGAACGAAGAAGGCCUUCGGGUCGUAAAGUUCUGUUGUUAGGGAAGAACAAGUACCAGAGUAACUGCUGGUACCUUGACGGUACCUAACCAGAAAGCCACGGCUAACUACGUGCCAGCAGCCGCGGUAAUACGUAGGUGGCAAGCGUUGUCCGGAAUUAUUGGGCGUAAAGCGCGCGCAGGUGGUUCCUUAAGUCUGAUGUGAAAGCCCACGGCUCAACCGUGGAGGGUCAUUGGAAACUGGGGAACUUGAGUGCAGAAGAGGAAAGUGGAAUUCCAAGUGUAGC